CAGCUAGUUGGUGGGGUAAUGGCUCACCAAGGCAACGAUCAGUAUCCGGCCUGAGAGGGCGGACGGACACACUGGGACUGAGACACGGCCCAGACUCCUACGGGAGGCAGCAGUGGGGAAUUGUUCGCAAUGGGCGCAAGCCUGACGACGCAACGCCGCGUGGAGGAUGAAGACCUUCGGGUCGUAAACUCCUUUCGAUCGAGACGAAUGGUUUUCGGGUGAAUAAUCCGGAAAAGUGACGGUACCGAGAGAAGAAGCCCCGGCUAACUCCGUGCCAGCAGCCGCGGUAAUACGGGGGGGGCAAGCGUUGUUCGGAAUUACUGGGCGUAAAGGGCUCGUAGGUGGCCAACUAAGUCAGACGUGAAAUCCCUCAGCUUAACUGGGGAACUGCGUCUGAUACUGGAUGGCUUGAGUUUGGGAGAGGGAUGCGGAAUUCCAGGUGUAGCGGUGAAAUGCGUAGAUAUCUGGAGGAACACCGGUGGCGAAGGCGGCAUCCUGGACCAAC
rnacentral:rRNA from 1 species